UGCCCUGCAACUCCUAUCCCUACCUCCUCGCUGGCCGGGGUACGAGUAACCUUAGGGAAGAUAGGGUAAUAGUGAGAGGAUUCUGGUCGUAUGCUGACAGGGAAGG
rnacentral:ribozyme from 1 species